rnacentral:rRNA from 1 species
GACGAACGCUGGCGGCGUGCUUAACACAUGCAAGUCGUACGGUAAGGCCCUUUCGGGGGUACACGAGUGGCGCACGGGUGAGUAACACGUGAGUAACCUGCCCACAACUUUGGGAUAACGCUAGGAAACUGGUGCUAAUACUGGAUAUGUGCUCCUGCUGCAUGGUGGGGGUUGGAAAGCUCCGGCGGUUGUGGAUGGACUCGCGGCCUAUCAGCUUGUUGGUGGGGUAGUGGCCUACCAAGGCGGCGACUGGUAGCCGGCCUGAGAGGGUGACCGGCCACAUUGGGACUGAGAGACGGCCCAGACUCCUACGGGAGACAGCAGUGGGGAAUAUUGCACAAUGGGCGCAGGACUGAUGCAGAAGCGCCGCGUGCGGGAUGACAGCCUUCGGGGUGUAGACCGCUUUCAGCAGGGACGAAGCUUUUUGUGACGGUACCUGCAGAAGAGGCACCGGCUAACUACGUG